rnacentral:lncRNA from 1 species
CAAACUUGACUCUCAGAGCAUGUCAGCCUCAAGUCAGCUAGCUCAGCCUCCCUCCUCAGCCACUCUGCAGGAGUUCAGUGCAGGGGCUGGCUGGGAGCCCCAAGAAGGAGCACACAGAUCCUGAUGCAGUCUGGAAGAAUAAAGCGAGCCCACCGGAAUGAACACCUGCAUUCUUGCCUGAGUGACAACCUACCAUGAGGACAAGUAAAGAGGAGGAGAGAG